rnacentral:rRNA from 1 species
ACUAAGUCACUUUGUCUUUAUGGCAAAUGUGAGAUGCAGUGUAUGGAAUGUCAAAUUUCUAGUAUGAGAAAUUAACGAUUUAAGUCCUUCUUAAAUGAGGCCAUUUACCCAUAGAGGGUGCCAGGCCCGUAUAACGUUAAUGAUUACUAGAUGGCAUUUCCAAAGAGUCGUGUUGCUUGAUAGUGCAGCACUAAGUUGGUGGUAAACUCCAUCUAAAACUAAAUAUAACCAUGAGACCGAUAGUAAACAAGUACCGUGAGGGAAAGUUGAAAAGAACUCUGAAUAGAGAGUUAAAUAGUACGUGAAACUGCUUAGAGGUUAAGCCCGAUGAACCUGAAUAUCCAUUAUAGAAAAUUCAUCAUUAUGAUUUUAAUAUUAAUAAUAUUAUAAUAAUGGUGUGCAUUUUUUCUAUAACGGACAUUGUAAUCUAUUAACAUAAUAUAUAUUUAUCAUAAGAUCAAUGAUGCGUAAGUUUAUUCAAAUUAUUUUGCUUGCAAUUUAACAUAGAAUAAAUGCUCUUGAUUUGAUAAAGUGUUGAUAGAUUUAUUAUAUAUAGUGCUUAAAUAUUUAUAUUUUAUAAUAGCAUAUUAAUCAUUGAUUUUUAUGUUUAUUAUAUGCACUUAUAUGAUUAACAAUGCGAAAGAUUCAGGAUACCUUCGGGACCCGUCUUGAAACACGGACCAAGGAGUCUAACAUAUUUGCAAGUUAUUGGGUAUCAAAACCUAAUAGCGAAAUUAACAUAACUUAAUUUUAAUGGGAUUAGUUUUUAGAUUAUUUAUAGUCUAUUAAUUCAAUCCCGGGGCGUUCUAUAUAGUUAUGUAUAAUAAUAUUUAUAUUAUUUAUACCUCUAACUAGAGCGUACCUUGAGCAUAUAUGCUGUGACCCGAAAGAUGGUGAACUAUACUUGAUCAGGUUGAAGUCAGGGGAAACCCUGAUGGAAGACCGAAACAGUUCUGACGUGCAAAUCGAUGUCAGAA